GAAUUAUCCGGGCUACACGCGGGCUACAAUGGUCAGGACAAUGGGCAUCAACACCGAAAGGUGAAGGCAAUCUCUUAAACCUGUCCUUAGUUCGGAUUGUGGGCUGCAACUCGCCCACAUGAAGCUGGAAUCUGUAGUAAUCGCGUCUCAAAAUGGCGCGGUGAAUAUGUCCCCUGCUCCUU
rnacentral:rRNA from 1 species